rnacentral:guide_RNA from 1 species
AUAAUGGCAUAACUAGAUCUGUAGAGUGAUAAAAUAU